AUAAUGGAUACUGCACUCUUAUUGAUAAUGGUACUGAAGCUAAAUGUGAAUGUCCACCUGGAUUCUAUUAUGUUAAUAAGACUGCGAGUUGUGACAGGGUCCAUCCUUACACUGUUGAAGAUUGCCAGAACAAGGAACAGCAAUUCCAGAAUGACAUGGAACGAUUGGAUAAAGUUACGUGGGACAAUGAACCUUAUCCGGUUCACAAAAUCAAUGUGACAGAAGCCUUUGAAGCAGAC
rnacentral:lncRNA from 1 species